UUGGGAAACUUGAUGUUGGCAGCUUGGGAGCUUGUGGGCUGAGAAGGAAACCUGACCCAAGCAGGGAAUUCCUGCUGAUUGGAGUUGCUGUGCAGAUUGAUUUAGUAUCUACUUAAGGCAGUGCUUGUUGUCCUGGAAGUGAGCUGAAUUAAACCAUCGAAUUGGAGUUUUCAGCAGAGAGGAGUUGAGUGGAGUGCUGAAUUGAAAUUACAGCUGAGGAAAAAUCUGGGAGAAGUUUGAAUCCUGACUUGCAAGUGGGUGUUGUUGGUGCUGUCGAAUUCAUGAACUCAGCUGAAAAAGCACCAAAUUUGCAGAAUUCGAAGAGGAGGUCUGGUGCAAGCAGGGAAUUCCUGAUAUUGUAGCUGCUAAGCCACUUGAUAUUAUACUUAGUUAAGGUCGACGACGCGCUAAUUACGAUUGAGGCCGUUCUAGUUCUAUUUGCACUGACUCGCAAGAGCGUGUUGUCGACACACUUCGAGACGUGAGAUUCUAGUUGUUGACACCACUACAGGUUCCAGUGCGAGCGGUGUGGCCGAGGAUCGUGGCAAGAGCCCCGCAGCUUAGCUAGUUGACACCAGAGUAUAGUAGUUACCAUUUUGAGUUCAUGUGAGACAUUUUGAUGUACAGAGACAUGUAAAUGAAUGUAUCCUAAAACAUGUAAAUAACUAAGUGUUUCAGUUAUACAGUUCAGUUUGAAAGUUUUAAAUUACA